AGAGUUUGAUUAUGGCUCAGAACGAACACUAUUGGCGCGUAUUAGACAUUGCAAAUCAAAAGACUCGAAUGAGAGAAACUUGGUGUACGGGAGUAGAAUAACCUUGGACAGAACAAAAGAUUGGAGAGAAAUCGGAAGGUCGAACAGACUGGAAGAUGAAUACCGGAAUGAAAAAAAGGACAAGAAGGUCCGUAAUGGGAGUGACAAGGUUUCUGAUGGUAGUUGGUUGGGUAAAUGCUAACCAAGCCGAUGAUAGAUAGCGGUGUUGAAAGACAGUACCGCCUCACUGGUACUGAAAACGGACCAGACUUCAAUGGAAGGCAGCAGUCGAGAAUCUUGGUCAAUGGGCGAAAGCCUGAACCAGCGACGCCAAAGAUCGAAGACAGCAUCUGUUGUAAAGAUCGGAACUUCAUGAGGAGAAUGACGUUAGUGAAGGAGGAGUCUCGUCUAAUGAUUGUGCCAGCAGACGCGGUCAUACAACGGAGGCGAGUGUUGUUCAUAAGGACUCGGUGUAAAGGGCAGGUAGGCGGGAAGCGGAUUGACUUGACUUGAAGCUAUCCUGUAUGGGGUAAAGAAGGUCGAAGUAACAAGCUUCCUAGAGUGUGAGAGAGGUAUACGGAAUGACUUCGGGACUAGUGAAAUGGGUUGAUCGAAGUCGGAACUCGAGUGGUGAAGACGGUAUACUGGAUCAGAGAUGUGUGGGAAACCUGCACAAAGAAACUGACGUUGAACUGCGAAAGCAUAGGGAGCAAAAGGGAUUAGAGACCCCUGUAGUCUAUGCUGUAAACGAUGUACAUUAAUUGUCAAAGCAAGUUUUGGCUUGUUUUGGUGAAUGAGCUAACGCGUUAAAUGUACCACCUGGAGAGUAUAGUCGCAAGACCGAAACUCAAAGAACCAGCCGGGCACUUAACAGACCUGUGGAACAUGCCAUUUAAUUCGAUAAUACGCGAGGAACCUUACCGUACCUAGGAGGUCAGUCAAAAAGACUCGGUCUAAAGGAUAGAGGAAAAGAGACAGAUCGUCAGGUGUUACAUAGCUGUCGUCAGUUCGUGCCGUGAGGUCUUUGGUUCAGUCCAAUUAACGAACGCAACCCAAAUGAGCUUUCGUAGUCUUGAAAGAGACUAGGGGACUCAGAUCGCUCAAGACAAUUGAGAGGAAGUUGGAUGAAGUCAAGUCCGUAUGACCCUUAUGGUACGGGCUAUCGGUGUGUUACAAUGGUAUUGGACAAAGGGUAGCGAUGAUGAGAAUCGGAGCGAAUCCCAGAAAACAUAUCGUAAUACAGAUUGUAGACUGAAACUCGUCUACAUGAAGUCGGAACAGGUAGUAAUCGAUGAUCAGAACGCAUCGGUGAACAUGAUUCUAAGUGUUGGACUUACCGCCCGUCAGUGACUGAGAACUGUCUGGAUACGAAGUGAUGAAUGAACCUUAUCUGUGUAGGAUAGGGAACAGACGUUACGACUCGCUGGGUGGUGAUUGGUUAUAAGUCGUAACAAGGUA
rnacentral:rRNA from 1 species